GUCUACCAUGCAGUCGAACGCGAAAGGGGAGCAAUCCCUAAGUAGAGUGGCAAACGGGUGAGUAACACGUGGGUGACCUGCCUUCGAGUGGGGGCUAACCUUCCGAAAGGAGGGCUAAUACCGCAUGACAUACCGUGUUUGGAUACACGGAUAUCAAAGCCGGGGAUCGCAAGACCUGGCGCUUGGAGAGGGGCCCGCGUCCGAUUAGCUAGUUGGUGAGGUAACGGCUCACCAAGGCUCCGAUCGGUAUCCGGCCUGAGAGGGCGGACGGACACACUGGAACUGAGACACGGUCCAGACUCCUACGGGAGGCAGCAGUGGGGAAUUGUUCGCAAUGGGCGAAAGCCUGACGACGCAACGCCGCGUGGAGGAUGAAGAAUUUCGGUUCGUAAACUCCUUUCGACCGAGAUGAAUACCCAUGGACCCAACACGUCUGUGGGCUGACAGUAUCGAGAGAAGAAGCCCCGGCUAACUCUGUGCCAGCAGCCGCGGUAAUACAGGGGGGGCAAGCGUUGUUCGGAAUUACUGGGCGUAAAGGGUUCGUAUGUGGCCACUUAAGUCAGACGUGAAAUCCCUCAGUUUAACUGGGGAACUGCGUCUGAUACUGAGUGGCUUGAGUGCAGAGAGGAAUGCGGAAUUCCAGGUGUAGCGGUGAAAUGCGUAGAUAUCUGGAGGAACACCGGUGGCGAAUGCGCAUUCUGGACUGUAACUGACACUGAGAAACGAAAGCCAGGGAGCAAACGGGAAUUAGAU
rnacentral:rRNA from 1 species